AAAAGGCCAAUGACACUGGGUAGAAGAGUGAGUUCACUGAAACCAUGGAUGUUUGCCCUUAUUGUCAGAGCUGUUGUGUUGAUUCUGGUGAUACUGAUUGGUCUCCUUGUUUAUUUUUUGGCAUAUGGCCUGAAGUUUUACUAUUACCAGACCUCCUUCCAGAUCCCCAGUAUUGAAUAUAAUCCUGAUUUUUCAGUAGAACACUCAAAACUUAGCACCGACCUGAAACAAAAAGUCAGUAACGAGUGUUUGUACAUGGUAGGCCCAUAUAAA
rnacentral:lncRNA from 1 species